UGGCUUAGAAGCAGCCAUUCAUUUAAAGAGUGCGUAAUAGCUCACUGGUCGAGUGGACAUGCGCCGACAAUAUACGGGGCUAAGCACGGUACCGAAGCGGCGGACCCGCGCGCGAGCGCGGGUGGUAGGGGAGCUUUCCGUCCGGGGCGAAGCGAGGGGGCGACCCCCCGUGGACCGGCCGGAAGUGAGAAUGCUGGCAUGAGUAGCGAGAGGGGCGUGAGAAACGCCCCCGCCGUAAACCCAAGGUUUCCUGGGCAAGGCUAAUCCUCCCAGGGUCAGUCGGGUGCUAAGGCGAGGCCGGAAGGCGUAGCCGACGCGCAGCAGGCAGACAUUCCUGCACCCCCGACGCGGCGCCAUCACCGACGGGGUGACGGAGAAGGGUAGCUCAGCGGGGUUCUGGACGUCCCCGUGAGGCCACGUAGGCCGGGCGGCUGUGAAACGCGCCGCCCGCGAGGGCUGAGGUGGCUGACGAAGCGACUGGGUGAAGUGAGUGAGCCCAUGCUCCCGAGAAAAACCCCUAGGGAUGCCGCGCGGGGCCCGUACCGCAAACCGACACAGGUGGGUGGGUAGAACAUACCAAGGCGAUCGGGAGAACUAUGGUUAAGGAACUCGGCAAAACUGCCCCGCAACUUCGGGAGAAGGGGUGCCGCCGCCGGUGGAGGGGCUUGCCCCCCGAGCUGGUGGCGGCCACAGUGAAGAGGUCCAAGCGACUGUUUAUCAAAAACACAGGACUCUGCUGAAGUCGUAAGACGACGCAUAGGGUCUGACGCCUGCCCGGUGCCGGAAGGUCACGAGGAGCCGUCAGCGAGAGCGAAGCGGCGAAUCCAAGCCCCGGUAAACGGCGGCCGUAACUAUAACGGUCCUAAGGUAGCGAAAUUCCUUGUCGGGUAAGUUCCGACCUGCACGAAAGGCGUAACGAUUUGGACGCUGUCUCAACCAUAGACCCGGUGAAAUUGCACUAGUCGUGAAGAUGCGACUUACCCGCGGAAGGACGGAAAGACCCCGUGAACCUUUACUGCAGCUUGACAUUGGCUGCCGGUUCGUCGUGUAGAGGAUAGGUGGGAGACUUUGAACCAGGGACGCCAGUUUCUGGGGAGUCACCCUUGGAAUACCACCCUCGACGUUUCGGCAUCCUAACCUGCGACCGUUAUCCGGCGUGGGGACCGUGUCAGGUGGGUAGUUUGACUGGGGCGGUCGCCUCCUAAAAUGUAACGGAGGCGCACGUAAGGUCUGCUCAGAAUGGUCGGCAACCAUUCUUUUGAGUGCAAGAGCAUAAGCAGGCUUGACUGCGAGGCCUACAAGCCGAGCAGAUGGGAAACCAGGUUCUAGUGAUCCGGCGGCUCAGAGUGGUAUGGCCGUCGCUCAACGGAUAAAAGGUACUCCGGGGAUAACAGGCUGAUCUUCCCCAAGAGUCCACAUCGACGGGAAGGUUUGGCACCUCGAUGUCGGCUCAUCGCAUCCUGGGGCUGGAGCAGGUCCCAAGG
rnacentral:rRNA from 1 species